AUUACUUUGGCAGAGAUAAGUGCUUUAAAUUUAGAAUUUAAAAGAUAUAUAUUAUAAUAUAUAAGUAAUA
rnacentral:tRNA from 1 species